AUUGAACGCUGGCGGCAGGCCUAACACAUGCAAGUCGAACGAGUGGCGGACGGGUGAGUAAUGUCUGGGAAACUGCCUGAUGGAGGGGGAUAACUACUGGAAACGGUAGCUAAUACCGCAUACCAUCAGAUGUGCCCAGAUGGGAUUAGCUAGUUGGUUGGGUAACUGCUCACCAAGGCGACGAUCCCUAGCGGGUCUGAGAGGAUGACUAGCCACGAUGUAACUGAGACACGGUCCAGACUCCUACGGGAGUCAGCAGUGGGGAAUAUUGCACAAGGGGCGCAAUCCUGAUGCAUCCAUGCCGCGUGUAUGAAGAAGGCUUUCGGGUUGUAAAGUACUUUCAGCGGGGAGGCGUUACCCGCAGAAGAAGCACCGGCUAACUCCGUGCCAGCAGCCGCGGUAAUUC
rnacentral:rRNA from 1 species